ensembl:lncRNA
GUUUACACAAAAUGUUCUUCAAUUGACUUUGAGGUGUGUUUUUACUCCCUUUGGGUGUGGUUUGAGGCAACGGUUGAAUUCCGUUAGUCCAAAUUAACAUACCUGAAAACUAUUAAUUUGUGGAAUUUGCUAAUUUGUGUUGUUAUGCUUGCCUCUUACUAUUCCCUUGCAGUGAGUCUACGUAGCUAUAGAUUUGUUGAGCUGAAAUUGCUCAAUGUAUUGGGAUCACUACUUUUGCCCUGGGUACACUACGGUGAGAUUGACAAACCAAAGUAGUAGCAAGUCGAUUGCAUUCCCUGCAAGUAGUUAACUUUUUUAUUAUAGUUUCACAUUAAUGAACUUAUAAAAAUGUAUGUUGCAUCUGAAUCUGUUACUCAGCUGGGCAAAGGAAGGGGACUUGCUCUCAUUUAGAUUUUUGGAAUUGAGUAGGGUUGCAUUCCAAACUUAAAGUAGACAGGCCCUUAAACCUACACCCUCAACCCUUCAAUGGCAUUUCCCUAUUAAUUUAUCACAUCAUGCUUUUUCAAAUAUGGUCUGUUUUAUUUAGGCUUACCCUGGCUCAGUGUUUUGAUAAGUGUGAAUAUAGUCAGGACAAGGUGAUGUUUUUCAACACAUUUGCUUCAAUUAUCUUUACAUACAUAAAAUAUAUUUGCUUAUAUGUAGCUAAUGUAGAUAAGUCUCCUUUUAGUCCUAUAGUUAUUUAUAGUUAUUGAAACGCUGAAUUGGAGUAAGCCUACACAAAAUACAGACCUUAUCUGAAGUGGAUCAAAAAAAUCCCUGUGAAAGAAAUAUAUGGUGUAAAAAGGCAGAUCUGCUUGUCGGGUUUUUAUGGGGGUUAUGCCAUUAUUUCAUGAUUUUUAAUCUAGCAAGGGAGACAUGAAGUUAGCUAAAUUGCUAAGUUAGCGAGUUUGCUAACUCACUACGCACCUGAACAGUGAGGUUUGAGUCUGACACAAAAAUGUAGUUGUGCUGAUUAAAUUUGAUGUUUUAUUGCUACCGGCGUUAGACACGUGAUUAUAGUUUGCAUUGAAUUGUAGGUGAUAUAAACUGUUGCAUGUUAGCAAUGUUGCUCACCCGUCCCCUGGAGCUAAAUCAAGAGCGAAGGGCAAGCUUUUGUGAAUUGGACAGGGAGAUGGCACUCAAACUGCAUCUGAUUUCAGUGGGGAUUCCCACUAAAGAAAGUGACUAUUAGGAACUAAAUACUGGGUGAUUGGACAGCAGCACUUGAAGUGUCAUAUUUAGGGGACAGUGUCCAUGCUGACAGCGUUCCUCAACCCAAAACCAAUCCUUCCCGUUUGUGUUCAAUUAAACAUUCCAGAAUGUAAAAAAAUUAUGAAUUGCAGCAAACAAUUCCCCUUCAGCUGAUUACGCCCUACCAGAACAAAAUUGCUAUAGAGGCACAGGGUACCAAAAUAUCUGUCAAGAUAAUAAUAUUUAGAGGGUGUGGGGCCUAGUUUCCUGUACUGUUGCUAGUUGACUUUAGCUCAGAAUUCUUUAAGUAAUUCUCAGGUAAUCCCAGUGUCUCAGAGUAAAGGGUGCAUUACUGGUGUGGUACAUUAGCCGAUAUAAAUAGGUUGGGUUGUCUUUGUUCAUACUUUUAAUUUGAGAUCUGUCAAAUUGUCUGUUUUUCUUGCCAGCAAAUUUGGUUAUUGUGUGAUUUAGGUAUAUGAAUGUGUAUCAGGGAGCACACUAGAUGUUUUUAUGUACACAGUGGUUUCCUGACAAUGUGGGGUGAUUUGUCCUGACUAAAUUUCAGCAGCUUGUAACAAUAAGAGCAAUGCAGCUAAUGCAGUUUUGACUGACUCUAUUCUCCCCAAGGAACAUAUUGUCAAUCUAUAGUUAUUUUUACUAUCUGAUUUCUCUUUUUUUGCCCCCUAUUUAUGUCUUCCAUCUCUGAAUGUUGAGGACGAUAAGUACUGCACUCAGAAUCUUUAACUCACAUACUGUAUUUGAGGUUUGAUUAUGCUAAUUUACUGUACAUGUUUGUGUGGAUCAAAUGAAAACGUUUGGUAUGGUAAAUGAUGCCAUUACUGAUGCAUUUCUGUUUAAUUUGUUGGUGAAGGUGACUCUAAGCUUGUUUGUUUUUUUCAGAUGUUUUGUGGAAAGGACAGUUCCUCUGGAUUUCCACUAAUGUUUCUCUUUCUUUGUACUGUUGUCAUUGCAGACUCCUCUUAUUAGUUCAGAUAGUUCUUUAUCUAUAUGAAAUAAAAUACAAUUGUAUGACAUCUACAAAUGAAUUGUCUUUAUGCAACGCUGGGUUGUAGUAGUAGAUGUACAAUUAAAUGGGCAAUAUUAUGAUUUUUACUUUACCACCAUUAUAAAAACAAGCAGAAAUUAC